UAAAGGGUAGUUCCCCGGCAGAUGCUCUCUUGCCUGCGCCAUGUAAAAUGUGACUUUGCCUCUUCUUUGCCCUCUGCCAUGAUUGUGAAGCCUCCCCAGCCAUGUGGAACUAUUAUCUAGGUGGGCCUAGUCCAGUCAACACAAGUCCUUCGAAGUGGAGAACCUUUCCUGGCUGUGAUCAGACAGAGAGGUGACUGUGAAAGAAGGCUCAGAGAUGCAGAAGAAAAAGGACAGUCUGCCAUUGCUGGCUUUGAACAUGGAGAAAGGGGGCCAUGAGCCAAGGAAUGUGAAUAGCUGCUCCAAGAUGGAAAAAGCAAGAAGACAGAUUGCUUCUGAGAGCCUCUAGAAAGAAACACAGCCCUGCAACACCAUGAUUUUAGCCCAGUGAGACCCCUCUCAGACUUCUGACCACCACAAUUGUUAGAUAAUAAAUGUAUAUUGUUUAAGAAA